rnacentral:rRNA from 1 species
AAGCUCGUAGUUGAAUUUCCGGAUCAAUGGAUCGGUCAUGCCGUUGGUAUGUACUGGUCACAUUGGUUCUCACCUUCUAAGGAACCAUGAUGUCAUUCAUUUGAUGUUGUGGGGAAUUAGGACUGUUACCUUGAAAAAAUUAGAGUGUUUAAAGCAGGCUAACGCCUGAAUACAUUAGCAUGGAAUAAUGAAAUAGGACAUCGCAUUCUAUUUUGUUGGUUUCUAGGAUCGAUGUAAUGAUUAAUAGGGAUAGUUGGGGGCAUUGGUAUUCAAUUGUCAGAGGUGAAAUUCUUGGAUUUAUUGAAGACUAACUACUGCGAAAGCAUUUGCCAAGGAUGUUUUCAUUAAUCAAGAACGAAAGUUAGGGGAUCGAAGACGAUCAGAUACCGUCGUAGCCUUAACCAUAAACUAUGCCGACUAGGGAUCGGAUGAUGUUGAUUUUUUAAUGACUCAUUCGGCACCUUACGGGAAACCAAAGUGUUUGGGUUCCGGGGGGAGUAUGGUCGCAAGGCUGAAACUUAAAGGAAUUGACGGAAGGGCACCACCAGGGGUGGAGCCUGCGGCUUAAUUUGACUCAACACGGGGAAA